rnacentral:ncRNA from 2 species
AUAAUAAAAUUUAAGACUACUUAUAUAGGUUCAUAAUCGGAUGGACGUUUCUACCAACUACCGGAAUAGUUGACUAUAAGUAUCUGCAGAGGUAUC